UGUCCGUGUUCGGAUGCCAAGCUUUGGGCCAUGAACCUAAUACCCCUCCUCAGGUGUUUGUGGUACAGAAUACUGUUGUGACUGGAAUGCAUCAACCACCACCUUACCCAAUUUCAUGAAAGAUGUCCGUUGUGGAAUUAUAAAAUUCUUAAUUCACAUGCUUCUGUUUAUUUUAUUUUUGAAGUGAUAUCAAAUAAACUGUGUAAAAAAAAA